rnacentral:rRNA from 1 species
ACUCAGGUGUUGUUGGGUAGGGGAGCGUUCUGUAAGCCUGCGAAGGUGGCCUGUGAGGGUUGCUGGAGGUAUCAGAAGUGCGAAUGCUGACAUAAGUAACGAUAAAGCGGGUGAAAAGCCCGCUCGCCGGAAGACCAAGGGUUCCUGUCCAACGUUAAUCGGGGCAGGGUGAGUCGACCCCUAAGGCGAGGCCGAAAGGCGUAGUCGAUGGGAAACGGGUUAAUAUUCCCGUACUUGGUGUUACUGCGAAGGGGGGACGGAGAAGGCUAUGUUGGCCGGGCGACGGUUGUCCCGGUUUAAGCGUGUAGGUGUGUGUUCCAGGUAAAUCCGGUUCACUUUAACACUGAGGCGUGACGACGAGGCACUACGGUGCUGAAGCAACAAAUGCCCUGCUUCCAGGAAAAGCCUCUAAGCAUCAGGUAACAUCAAAUCGUACCCCAAACCGACACAGGUGGUCAGGUAGAGAAUACCAAGGCGCUUGAGAGAACUCGGGUGAAGGAACUAGGCAAAAUGGUGCCGUAACUUCGGGAGAAGGCACGCUGACAUGUAGGUGAAGUGAUUUACUCAUGGAGCUGAAGUCAGUCGAAGAUACCAGCUGGCUGCAACUGUUUAUUAAAAACACAGCACUGUGCAAACACGAAAGUGGACGUAUACGGUGUGACGCCUGCCCGGUGCCGGAAGGUUAAUUGAUGGGGUCAGCGCAAGCGAAGCUCCUGAUCGAAGCCCCGGUAAACGGCGGCCGUAACUAUAACGGUCCUAAGGUAGCGAAAUUCCUUGUCGGGUAAGUUCCGACCUGCACGAAUGGCGUAAUGAUGGCCAGGCUGUCUCCACCCGAGACUCAGUGAAAUUGAACUCGCUGUGAAGAUGCAGUGUACCCGCGGCAAGACGGAAAGACCCCGUGAACCUUUACUAUAGCUUGACACUGAACAUUGAGCCUUGAUGUGUAGGAUAGGUGGGAGGCUUUGAAGCGUGGACGCCAGUCUGCGUGGAGCCGACCUUGAAAUACCACCCUUUAAUGUUUGAUGUUCUAACGUGGACCCGUUA